rnacentral:rRNA from 1 species
ACACUCCUGCGGGAGGCAGCAGUGGGGAAUUUUGGACAAUGGGCGAAAGCCUGAUCCAGCAAUGCCGCGUGAGUGAAGAAGGCCUUCGGGUUGUAAAGCUCUUUUGUCAGGGAAGAAACGGUGAAAGCUAAUAUCUUUUGCUAAUGACGGUACCUGAAGAAUAAGCACCGGCUAACUACGUGCCAGCAGCCGCGGUAAUACGUAGGGUGCAAGCGUUAAUCGGAAUUACUGGGCGUAAAGCGUGCGCAGGCGGUUUUGUAAGUCUGAUGUGAAAUCCCCGGGCUCAACCUGGGAAUUGCAUUGGAGACUGCAAGGCUAGAAUCUGGCAGAGGGGGGUAGAAUUCCACGUGUAGCAGUGAAAUGCGUAGAUAUGUGGAGGAACACCGAUGGCGAAGGCAGCCCCCUGGGUCAAGAUUGACGCUCAUGCACGAAAGCGUGGGGAGCAAACAGGAUUAGAUACCCCGGUAGUCCCAUGA